rnacentral:rRNA from 1 species
GAUGAACGCUGGCGGCGUGCCUAAUACAUGCAAGUCGAGCGAACAGACGAGGAGCUUGCUCCUCUGACGUUAGCGGCGGACGGGUGGGUAACACGUGGAUAACCUACCUAUAAGACUGGGAUAACUUCGGGAAACCGGAGCUAAUACCGGAUAAUAUAUUGAACCGCAUGGUUCAAUAGUGAAAGACGGUUUUGCUGUCACUUAUAAAUGGAUCCGCGCCGCAUUAGCUAGUUGGUAAGGUAACGGCUUACCAAGGCAACGAUGCGUAGCCGACCUGAGAGGGUGAUCGGCCACACUGGAACUGAGACACGGUCCAGACUCCUACGGGAGGCAGCAGUAGGGAAUCUUCCGCAAUGGGCGAAAGCCUGACGGAGCAACGCCGCGUGAGUGAUGAAGGUCUUCGGAUCGUAAAACUCUGUUAUUAGGGAAGAACAAAUGUGUAAGUAACUAUGCACGUCUUGACGGUACCUAAUCAGAAAGCCACGGCUAACUACGUG